rnacentral:lncRNA from 1 species
CAAUACUGCACACUGAGGUACAGUGGGAAGACAGUCCCUCUUUUCUGUUCCCACCACCCAAGGCACGGUCCCCCACAGCAGAGGCAUCUCCGCUUCCUGUUUCCGCCAUUUCAAGGGAUGGCGCUCCCAUCUCUUUAAGCUGCCGCUCUUCCAACUUGGCAGGGCUGAUUAGGAAGACCCAGUUCCUGACCACCGAUGCUUUGCUACGCUAGGCUGGAAAAUGCCUCCCUCUGCCCUUGAGAAGGGGGUCUGAAUGUUUUGCGGGACUGACACCGCAGCAACAUGCCGGUGUGUUUCACGCUGCUGCCUCCUGUUUCCCUUGAAGCUUUCACCAGACCCUGGAUUUCUUUUUCACUUCCUGUUCUGAGCCAUCGCCGGGCACUCAUUACCCACCAGCUGUGUCCCAGCUGCCGCAUUCUACACUAGAGGUGGCGCCCUGCACCCGGCGGAAAUGAAGAGAAUCAGACUACCCACCUUGGAUUCUGAUAUGAAAGAUUUAGGAUAAAAGAGCUACUCCAUCAGCCUGGAAAGAUGACUCACUGGCAAACUCUUAGAUAAAGCUAAACUUCACACCAAACUGCAAGAGAGUCUAAGAAUGAAGAGAAAACUGCUUUGGCAAGCAACUACCUAGUCUCUGACACAGUCCACCUUUUUGGUCAGCCAAUAUCCAGCUCCGCCUUGUCUUCUUACACAAAGCCCAGGCAAAGCCCAGGAUUGCUAACUGUUGUACAAACCUGUUGGUCAGGCCUAGAUGGAAGCUUUCAACCCCAUUUCAAGUCAGCUGGCUUAUCCAACCCUGAAAGGUCUGUGAUCUCUCAGUUCUUUUUAUAAACAGGCCUCUGCUUGCAAAUGGCCAAUUCUUGCCUGAGCUCAUCUCUUUCUUGUAAUACUUUAUGAAAGGCAGCCAGUAGUAACUAAUGCAUAAAUUUUUCCAACCAACUGGCCCAAAGGUCAGUAGACCUUUUUACCAAAUGUUUCGCAAUGUAUAGCAUGAAUCUCCAUCUUUCUCCUCUCUGUUAUCAGGUUCCUCAGUGCCCAACCAUUAUGUCAAUGCCUUUUACCUUAAUUUUUUUCUUAUGGCAACAUUUUCUUCUGGAAUUAUUUCUGUACUGUAGCAAAUGCCCUAAACUGUGUAAAACAGUUUGAAGACACUAUUUUUUUUUCUAUUUUUAUCAUUUGUUCCUCGGUCUACUCAAUACGCUCCCUGCUUAAAACUCCCCUAGUGAUUUUCUGUUGGGUUUAAAAUAGAGUCUAAACUCUUUACCAUGGAUUACAAGCUUCUCUGUUAACUGGUUGUAACCUGCAUUUCCAGCCUCCUUUGGCGCCACUCUUGUCCCACCAACUAUAUCACAUUUCCUUUGGAACAUUUUCUGCUUCUUGAACUUGCCCAGGUCCUUGCUGUUAGCUGGUCCCUUUGCCUAUGAUGAUCUUCCUUCUUAGCAUCACUUGAACUGCAAAAAAUAAAAAAUGAAACAAAAAACAA